rnacentral:rRNA from 1 species
UACGAUUGCCCUAAGCGUUAUCCGGAAUCAUUGGGCGUAAAGGGUGUGUAGGUGGUUGUGUUAGUCUUCUGUUAAAUUCUUCGGCUUAACCGGGGGCAUGCAGAAGAAACGGCACAACUUGAGGAUGCGAGAGGUGAACAGAACUCAUGGAGUAGGGGUGAAAUCCGUUGAUAUCAUGGGGAAUACCAAAUGCGAAGGCAGUUCACUGGCGCACUCCUGACACUGAAACACGAAAGCGUAGGUAGCGAAUGGG